AUUGAACGCUGGCGGCAGGCCUAACACAUGCAAGUCGAGCGGAUGAGUGGAGCUUACUCCAUGAUUCAGCGGCGGACGGGUGAGUAAUGCCUAGGAAUCUGCCUGGUAGUGGGGGACAACGUUUCGAAAGGAACGCUAAUACCGCAUACGUCCUACGGGAGAAAGUGGGGGAUCUUCGGACCUCACGCUAUCAGAUGAGCCUAGGUCGGAUUAGCUAGUUGGUGAGGUAAAGGCUCACCAAGGCGACGAUCCGUAACUGGUCUGAGAGGAUGAUCAGUCACACUGGAACUGAGAAACGGUCCAGACUCCUACGGGAGGCAGCAGUGGGGAAUAUUGGACAAUGGGCGAAAGCCUGAUCCAGCCAUGCCGCGUGUGUGAAGAAGGUCUUCGGAUUGUAAAGCACUUUAAGUUGGGAGGAAGGGCAGUAAGUUAAUACCUUGCUGUUUUGACGUUACCAACAGAAUAAGCACCGGCUAACUUCGUGCCAGCAGCCGCGGUAAGAC
rnacentral:rRNA from 1 species